rnacentral:rRNA from 1 species
GACGAGAGGGUGCAAACGUUGCUCGGAAUCACUGGGCGUAAAGGGCGUGUAGGCGGGCAGGUAAGUCGGGCGUGAAAUCCCUGAGCUCAACUCAGGAACUGCACUCGAAACUACUUGUCUUGAGUACCGGAGAGGAAAGACGGAAUACCUGGUGUAGAGGUGAAAUUCGUAGAUAUCGAGGUGGAACACCAGUGGCGAAGGCGGCUUUCUGGACGGUAACUGACGCGUGAGAACGCGAA